rnacentral:rRNA from 1 species
CAGCCGCCGCGGGAAUACGAGGGGGGCAAGCGUUACUCGGAAUUACUGGGCGUAAAGGGCGCGUAGGCGGCGAUCAAAGUCAGGCGUGAAAUUCCUGGGCUCAACCUGGGGGCUGCGCUUGAUACUUGGUCGCUUGAGUGGGGAAGAGGGUCGUGGAAUUCCCAGUGUAGAGGUGAAAUUCGUAGAUAUUGGGAAGAACACCGGUGGCGAAGGCGGCGACCUGGUCCUUGACUGACGCUGAGGCGCGAAAGCGUGGGGAGCAAACAGGAUUAGAUACCCCUGUAGUCCCUGUCUCUUAUAC